AAUUGUGAUGCCGAGGAGGUCGAACCAUUACGCUACACCCCCUCAUCUUCUUCUCCGCCGCACCCCCUUCCUCGCCCCCCUCGAUAGAUCCGGCGGCUGGGUGGCGGAACAUGGUAACGGCGGCGUGGGGAACGCGCGCCGGCAGGUACGCCGCGCUUCCCCCUCUUCGGCGCCCAGUGCUGGGGAAUGCGACUGCGGCGGCCCCUCCAACAUCCGGCGCGUAGUCAUCGAUGUGACGAUCUCAAGCACUGAGGAGGCGACGGUGAGAGAGCCCAUCUGCGUGCGACCUCACGAAGAAGCAGAGCAAGUGAAUGCUCACUAGAACUUGUUGGGGCCUCUUCAGAAGAUCUGGGACCUGAACAAUGAGAUAGCCGCCUCAGAAGUCAAGAUCAGUGUGCGUACUGUUAAGCUUGAGAAGGAGAAAGCAAAGAAGAAAGCACUUCAACGUGCACUAGCAAAAGCUUACAGGGAGGCAUCCAAGAUGUAGUGGGUGCAAGCACCUUGAGGGUCAAUGCUAUUGGUUUUUGGUGGAAGCAACAGGUGGAAGCGGUUAGUUCUUUUGCUGUUUGUGUUGCAGUGUUGCUGCUACUCAAACAAAAUGUGCCCUGUGUCAUGUGUCUGUAAAUUUGGGUAGUUGGAUGCAUACUUUUGGUUGGCACAAACACUUGUAAUUGUGCUACUGAUGUUGGUGAAAUGAACCUGCAGAUUGUGAAAUGUACCUUAUGAAUCCUAUAUAUGUUAUGACUGACAGACUGAGUUCAAUUUUGUC